AUAAUUUAUGGUCUUGCAACAAUCCAGAACUCAAAUGACUGGACAAAAAUACACUCUUUGUCUCAAAUGGUACUAAUAAGCAUAGCAUAUUAUAUCACAACAUCAUGUACAUUUCAUCAACCCAGGUAUUUAAAGGAAAGAACACAUAGAUAUUUAGAUAAUCAGCAAAUAAACACAAAGUUGACUCCUCAUACCCAGAACGCAUCCUCUCUUCACUUCGCAAUCAAACCCUGCGAGUCUUCCUAAUAGCCCCCAUUUCAUUCUGUUUCUCACUUACAAAAAGAGAACGCACACUACCUCAUCUACUAAACCACUCAUAGCUCUUAUAUUGGCUUUUUUGAGUCUCAAACAUCCAUGAAAUAUCAACGUCAGAUUCCCUUCCUUUUUCCAUCUCAAACCACCCACGUAAGGCUCCUUCUUUAACUCACGUUCACUCUCCUUUCCGUCCAAAAAUAAAUCACCCUUUUGUUUUCAUCAAGGUUCGAGCUGUGUGCCUCCAACCACACAUACCCUCUCUUCACUUCGCAAUCAAACCCUGCGAGUCUUCCUAAUAGGCCCCCUUUCAUUAUGUUUCUCACUCACAAAAAGAGAACGCACAUUACCUCAUCUACUGAACCACUCAUAGCUCUUAUAUUGGCUUUUUUAUGAGUCUCAACCAUCCAUAAAAUAUCAACGUCAGAUUCCCUUCUUCUUUCCAUCUUAAACCAUCUACGUAAGACUCCUUCGUUAACUCACAUUCACUCUCCUUUCCGUCCAAAAAUAAAACACCUUUUUGUUUUCAUCAAAGUUCGAGAAUUAUGUACUUCUAACCACACAAGUGUCACUCACCAC
rnacentral:lncRNA from 1 species